rnacentral:rRNA from 1 species
UACGUAGGGUGCGAGCGUUAAUCGGAAUUACUGGGCGUAAAGCGUGCGCAGGCGGUUCUCCAAGUCCGUUGUGAAAGCCCCGGGCCUCAACCUGGGAAUGGCAGUGGAAACUAGGGGACUUGAAUCUGGCAGAGGGGGGUGGAAUUCCACGGUGUAGCAGUGAAAUGCGUAGAGAUGUGGAGGAACACCGAUGGCGAAGGCAGCCCCCUGGGCUGAGAUUGACGCUCAGGCACGAAAGCGUGGGGAGCAAACAGG